UUAAGCGAUAGCACUUUAUUUAAACAUAACCAAUUCUAAGCCACAAUACUGAAUAACAAGACUCAAUGGCUGCAGCAUACAUUGUAAAAAAAAAAAAAAAUCAGGUUUGAAUGCCUUAGUUAAUGGAGUUUCUCUUGUCCUGUACUUGGAGGUCAAUGCAAAUUUGAAUCAUAUUUAAGUGUCUUAAUCAAAUUAUAGUUCCUUUCACUUUUUUUUUCUCUUUAAAAACACAAAUGUAACAUUUUGCAACAUAUAACCAUUCACUAGCACACGUUAGGAUUUAACAAGGCAAAGUGCUUUCAGAGAUUGCAUUGUCACAGAAAAUCAUGUACGGCUUGUCUCUUUACCCAUUUCUUUUAGGUGGGUUUGGGGAAGGGGGGGGGGGCAGGGUUUGGGGAGGGGUCUGAAGAGGUCCUUUUGCUUAGUGGGAGCCCUGCCUAACAUCUGACCUCUGUGGUGGGAUGCAUCUGGCGGUUUAAGGCUGGAUACGAUAAAUGUGUUUCCUUCAGACGGAGCGCACCGCAUGCACCCUUACUCAGCCUGAAUUGAACCAGAGCUGCUGUAAUUUUGUUGCUUUUGGAGUUAUGUUAGUUUAAGACGCAGACACAUGACACACCAACUCCACAGUCAGACAUUUCCUAUAACACAACAGCUGUAAACGUGGUAACAUAUGGCUUGAUGCGCACACACACAACAUACACAAACACACCGUCAGGAUGUGGAAAAGGUGACGUCUGCUCACUGAGUAAAGGGUGCUUUUGAUGGGCUCAUUGAAGCUGAUCUGUCUUUGAUAAAAAAUUCUCAAAGAAACUGCUGCACUAGGACCUAGGAGAUUUUGUCGGUCUACUUACAGCUUGGCUUAGACAUUCCUGUCGUUGGUUGUGACUAAUCCUCAACACUUGAAUAUGACAGACACAGUCACUCAUUUUGAACUUUUUUUUUUUUUAAGAUAGAAAAAAUGGAAAUAUUUCUCCAUCUUUUUUUUUCUUUUAACCUACAGAAAUAGGUGGCUAUGCACUUAGCAGACAAAGAUGACCUGUACAAUAUGGAGGUAGGCACAACAGAAAAACCAUACUCAGUAUUGUAAUACUAAUACCUUUUUUAACAUUUUUUUUUUUUACAAUUCCCCAAAAUAGCAUGAAUGUGUGUAUUACAAAUGAAGCGUAAAUCCACUUGAAGAUGAAAAGUGUGGUCAGUUCUGUAUUUAUUUCUGUCAUUGACGUUUUGAGGUAAUUAGGGUUUCAUAUUGGAUCUACUACAUCGCUGCUUACGUCCUCUAAGCCUUACUAAACACCUGCUUUCUCUGACAACAACAACCAGACACACACACUCACUCACUCACUAGUAGGUGGCAGUAGUGAAACACCAGUGUGGGUGGGACUCGGGUUACUGCCAGACUUCAGGUAUGGCAUGUUCUCUGCUGCACUCCAACGCCUGUGGGCUAAUGCUAACGCUAACUGGUUCACCUCUUCCAGGUCUCUACACACAGCUGAGCAGAGGGGAGGGGAGCUGUGAGGCUCACUCUCUCUCAGGCUCUUUGGGAGGACAUUGAGAACUUCUGAUAAUGUAUGUUUUAAGGCAACCAACAGCCUUAUUCCAGAUACAGAUUGGAAAAGAAUUCAAGCUUUCACUCAAAACAGUGUUCAGAUAUCCUCUUCAAAGGGUUAAGUUCACAAACAUGUUAGGACACCAAAACAGUCUAUCAAACUAAAUACAAAAAAGCCCACAAACUUUUAAAGACUAGAAGUACCACGAUCUUACCAUAACUAGAAGGGAAUGUAUUUUUUUUUUUAAGGAUUGACUAAUUGGAGAGCAGAAUCCUUGGGCUUCUGGUAGUGUAAACUAGUCGUGUGUAAAGUAUGCCAAGACAUGGAAAAAUACAAAUUUCUUACAAAAUAUUCAGCGCCACGUAGUGAGGAGCACAUAUCCUCAGUCUUCAAAUGGGAAAUGCUUGAGUACAUUAAGUCAUAUACACACACACACACACACACACACACAAAAACUCACAUAGCACAUGGAUACGGACGUCCUAGUACCAAAAGGUAGUGAUUGCAAGGUGGUUUCCCUUAAUCCUGCAUUAUAGUAUUCCACUGCAAGACCAACUCAUCGUCCACACACAUCCGCAAACAUAUAAAGCCAUGCCAAAUGCAUCAAACACAUCCCACUGAUUAUCAUUAUUCACUUUACUUUGCUGUUAAUUCAAGUUUAGUUUCCAGGUUUAAGGGAAGUAGCAGGCUGCAAAAAUGUUCUUAUAAACAAUGUUAAACUCCCUUUGCUACUCACAGUUGAUCAGUCAAAUUUCUGGAUAAGCUCAGAUUCAAUCAAGAUAAACCCUGCGUUAAAUUAAACAAACAUGCCAUCCCUCGUACAUGCAACAAUCCACGCCUAGAAGAGCUACUCUAGAUAAGAUCAAUAAAAUCUACAACACCCUUCCAGUAGAAUGCAUAAUGUUUCCUUAUUGGUGUGUUGGAACAAAUAGCUUUUCUUUAUGCCACUUACUUACAUUCGAAAUCACAUAUUUGUAAACUUUAGAUGUUGGGAUCCGUUUGCAACCUUGGCCAGUUCAUUAGAUCUAAUAGGACAUGUUUUCAAAGCUGCGGACAAUCUUAAUUACAGCCCAGCUAUUUUUCAGUUGUACUUGUGCUUGUGAGCGAGUCAAGGUGCAAUCACAAAUGGAAAUAUUGCUUUAACGGAAUGAACUACGGAUUACUUGACCAUGGCCAAACCUCUUUUUCUACACAAGGUAAUUUACCCAAUUGGAAAAAGACCUUGAAAACCAGCCCAUAAUCAAGCCCGGAGGGCUGAAGUGUCAUCUUGGAAGGUUACUGUGAGCACAACUGGCAGGCCAGAAUUUGGGGACUUGGUGUUCAGAACUUCCUCUUUGGACUUGUGCUUUGAAAAAUCUGUCAACACAAACUCUGUAGUUUUGACAAUUCUGUCCACAGAGAUUCAUGUGGUGACAAAAUGAACUAGCAGGUCAACAAAAUGGCUUCCAGUUCCUUGGGAUUAAUGGAAUUUGUGACAGCCUAAUGCUACAGGUGGUUGGACCCAUAAUGGACCCUGUGAAACAGGACUACUCAGUGGUAAUUCAUAAGGCUUCAGACUGGUUUGAAUGGAAGACCAUUUACAGAGACUAAACAAACAACUGUAAAUAGAUAUUUUGAUUCAAUUUAGAAGCUCUUCAGAAAUUAUGUGACCAUCUCUCUUGAAGUAACACACACUACAAUUACCUAUAGAAAUGAACUAAAUAACCAGCAAUUCUCUAAACUGAAUGCAUAAUCAGUAUUCUUGGUGAAAAAUGCCACCAUGCAAUAUAACCUCUCUUACAAUUUAAUAGCAUUUAUAGCUUGCACCAAAUUAAUCUUAGUGUGGCUACAAUUGAGAACAACACAAUUCCGUGGAGCAAGAAUGUUCAAUAGAGUCCAUGGUUUGAAAUUAAUCUUGAAAAGACGUUGCACAAACCAGGAAAAUCGUUUAACGUAGGCCAUUCAGGUUUCCACAUUCCAACUGCACAGCAAUGUUCUCACAGCGUAGCUCCACCAUGCAUAACAGGACCUCCAUCAAACAUGGGAAUUUGCAUAAGUUGCCAUACAUGACCUGAGCCUCCAGUUAGGUCCAUUUGAGAAGAAUUAUUUUGAGACCUUCAGCCUUCAAAAAGCAGCAACUGUCCCUUCUUAGGGCAAUCCAGCCAAAUGCAGAGGACCACUAGAUCAUCCGCUUUCAGAUGAUCCCACUGGUGUCUCCAUAGACCCCUCUGCCGGAAAGUGUUCUGACCAAACACUACAAUGAACUGUGGCUCUCCCAUACUUAUUAUGGGUAGGUUGGGUGAAAGGCAUCGGAUGUUCACCAGGCUGAAAUACUCUCUAGGACUUCAAAGGAUACUGAGGCACACUGACAUAGAGCUCGCAGGUCUUAUGGAUGCUAACCAUCAUCUUUAAUGGCUGCUUCUCUCAAUCUCCGCUUAUCCAAAGCCAGAGAGGUAACGCAUGGUAGUGACCUCAGAUUACUGAGAAUAGCCUUAAAACAUCAACAGGACAAGAGGUAUCAGAUGAGAGAAGGUCAUUAAUAUUACUUCCAUGACACACUGUGAUAUAUAACCAUGAGGACAGAGGUCACAGUACUAUGGAGGCAACCUCAGGCCAGUGACAGACAUCAGUCUACGUUUCAUUUGUCUGGAGCUGUUAAAGGGUGCAGGGAUUCAUGCAAAGAGGAGGAUCUGUAGAUGGAUUUGUCACAAACAGCUCAUUCACAUGGGUCGGUACAUUUAAAAUGACAGAUGUACAGCUAUCUGAGUCCUGGGACUGGCUAAAUCCCUGCUAUGCCCAUUUAGAAUCUAGAGGUUGACAAAAACUUGAAAAACACUUUUUUUUCUUACAUAGAUGCAUUAUUAUAAUUUUUUACAAUAUCAACAUAGACUUUGUUAUAUAUUAAAACAAGGUUAUCUUCUAUAACUGCAGCCACUAUUGAUAUGAAAACCUGUACACCAAUUAUCACCAGUAAGGUAACAAAGACGUUUUUUUUUUUUUUACUUUACGUUGAGGGAAUUCACAUGGUGUACCCUUAAGUUUAAGGCAUGCUUUCUAUGGGGGGCAGAGGGGAAGGUGAAAACAUAAAAUAUUCUGCUAUUGCCUUUCACCGAUGCUUCAAGUAAAGAGGGACACUGGUGUCCUUGGAGGUAAGGCUCAGGGGAGAUGUUGCUGCACAGAUGCUGACCUGGGACCAGCUUCUCUCCCCUCUUUCGCAGUCUGAGGAGUAGAAUAGAACAUGACAACUGGUCCACAGUCAGCACUUUUCAGGAGCAACUUCUACCAACACCGGAGGUAAGUGGGAGAUAUCCCAGUAGACCGUGCUGUGGACAGUAUCACUGUAGUUAAUAUGUGACACGACAGCUAUGAUAACUAUAAUAUAAACUAACUAUUCAAAAAAAAAAGAAAUCUAAUUCCAGCUUUCCUAUAAACCCUCUCUUUAUCUUCAAAUCAUAAUAAAGUUCUGGAUGUUAAAUAAUCACGGAUAUAUAUUUUACGAAAACAAAUACUAUUCAAUCUUACAAAGAGCUGUGAUCUCUCACCAACAAAACUCUAAGACACAAAUGAGAAGCUACAUUAGAAGUGAUUCCACCACUCCUGUCAAAUACAGACCUACGCCCUGUACGAGACCAGAUAGAGAGCCAGGACCACAACUAGUACUUCAGUACCCUGAAGAAACAAGGAAAACAAAAACUCACAAACGUACAAAAUCACUAGUCAUGCCCAUUUUCUUCAAUGCUUGUUUUUUUUUUUUGACGCUUCGUGUGUUCUGUGUGUGUCAACUGCUACCAUCUCCACUAGUUUGUGCAAGUCUAUCUCUCCUCCUCGAACUGGCCGACUGCAAUAUUGCUUUUUAAAAACUCAAAACAUACCUUUCAACAGAGAGUGUACUUGAUCUGUAUGACAAAAUGCACAUUCGCUAUGGGCUUGAUGCUAUACAGAUGAGUAGAGGACAAGAAAGAAAGAAAAGAAAAAAAAAACAAGUAAACUCCAAUCUUUCUCCUAGAAUACUCGAGCAUUUUAGAAAACGUAGUCUUACCCACCAUUUGAGCCAGUUAAGGACAUUAUUUCUGAAAAAAAGUAUUUCCCCAUCUUGAGGAGUGUGAUGAACUGAGUCUCUUCAAAUAUGAACUCUGAACUGAAUUGUUUUAUACGGUCUUCAACAGCUUAUACCCUAGCACUCUCACUCAUACAGCUUACACGAUUUCCUUUUCAGUGAGAGCAAUACAAAGCUGGUUAUCUGCAUCUUAGUGAAGGUCUAAGGGGAUCAGCACUAUUAAAGAGUUUCACUUGUGAUAAGGACUUUGGGAAUCAAUAACUGGGUGGGGAGAGAGAUGGCCUUUGAUGAAACAAAGGCAAAAGAAAAGGUGAGAAUCACUCUUUGAACUUCUUUUGUGCCGAACCCCACUGGACAAAGGAUGACUUCAACAAAUUGUUCUUUCCAACAACCAUCGAGAACAAACAAGAGAGACGGAAAUUGCUACGGCACUUACGGGUCUAGGUAACAGCAUGGGGCGUCAUUAAGGUUGAAUGCUUUUGAUAUGCUAUCAGUUAUGAAACAAAGACGUACACAUUCCAAACAAGUACAGAGACUAUGCAGGCUUGCGCAUCACAACACAGGAAGAACAUCAGGAGGUAACUGUAAGGCAAUUGCAGUAGAGAAUAUGGCUGCCAUUUUGUAACAACAACCACUUUGAGCUAGGCUGCUUCACAGGACAGUGCAGAAUGGAGGGGCCCUAAAGGACCACAUGAGCAGUGCUAAAGAUGACAUUGGUGUGACAUUUGUGCUGAGAACAUAAGGCAUGUGCAUCGGCUACAUCUAGAACCCUCUACCCUGCUAAAAAAAUAAUGUCCAACACUGGCUCAAAUGAGAAGACUGUUUCAAACCUUUGCCCAUUUGUCUGCAGAUGUAAGCAGAUGUGGAAAAGGAACAAUCCUAAAAAAGGGUGUCAGACUUUAAUCUAUUACUUUUUGUCAUUUUGUCUAGAGACAGUGCAGUAAUGUCAGCUUCACAACCCCACCUACUCAAAAUUUAGACCUUACAUUCACUUUUAGUCAGCAAAUUACUGGACUAUGGCUCAGCAGAGAUGUCUGUCAAUCGACGUAUACCUAUACAUAGUUUGUGUUCUUCAUCAAAUGUCAGUUUUUGUCCUCAAUUUUCAUUUUUUUUUUUAAACAUCCUUGCUUUUUGGCAACUGGUUGAAGAAAGGCAGUGCAAAUAGAGGUCGUUUUUUUCUGUUUGAAAUGGACUUUGUGCUACACACAUGUGCACAUUCAGGUGCAAGCUUUACUUUCAUUGCUACCGAAUAGUGAUCCCGACAAGAGAAACCAUCCCCUCCUCAUACGUAGACACAAACACACAAACAAAACACACGCACGCACAGCACACCUGCUCACCAGUGAAAAGUGAGACACCCUCUCACCUCUUUUGCUGAAGAAAACUGUAACCCCUAACGUUAAUAUCUACAUAGGUAACAUGUAUACAUAAAUACACACAUACAUAUAGAGAUAUUAAAUAUACAAAAGUGCCUAUUCAUUCGAUAAGUGCUUUUGGUCUGGGCUGAGCCGUGUCCUCUGCAAUGAGCUAAUGCUUGACGGGGGGGGGGUGGGGGGUGGGUUGGAGUUAGGACCUUCAAAGCAAAAGUCAGGCUUUUGUUUUGUUUACCAAAGCAAGCCUGUUUCUUCCAUCCCUGGCCCAAACUCUCCAACCUUUCACCAGACCAAAGUCUGGCCAGGGGGCCUGUCAGCACUUUGCACAGCUCUUGACAAGACAAGGUGGUUUGCAUCGGGAGCAAGUCCCGUUCGCCCAGGCCAGCCAAUCUGUGGCAAUUUAUUUAACUUGCACUCAACCCACUUUCCAAAUUGAAUGUAGUACGGUAGUCCAAUUUUGAGAAUCAAAAAAAAAAAAAAAAAGGUUACGCAGGUGUUAGAGCAGGAUGUCUUUCUCUCUUGCUUGCUCGCACACUCUUUAGUUUGAACAAAAUGUACAAUUUCAAAUAAAAAUCCCUUCUCCUAUUCAGCUGAAUUAGAUUAUUAUUAAAUGGCUUAUUUGUUGAUGUGAUAUCUCCGCACCAGCAACACCCUUGUCUGACAUCAUAGAAAAAGGCCUAUGUAAAAUGCCACAAAAAGUUCAGGUAGCUUAAUACAAUCAUUUCUUUCAGCAUACUAGUACAAAUAUGAGAAAUAGCAAUUACACUGAUUUUGGCAUUUGCUAUUCCUGCAUAUAGUAAAGGAUAUUGACUUUUUUUUCUCCUUAAAGGCUUUAAAAUGAAAUACCUUGUGGAACACCGGUACUGGCCACAUCAGGGUGCAAGAUAAGCAUUUGCUUUUUUCAACUUUUCCUGUUUUUUUUUCUUCUUUUUUUCCUUUUCCAUUUUUUUUAUUUUUAACAUGAUACCUUCUCAUCCCUGUUAAUGCACCAUAGACCUGACAAUAAAAUCUCAGUCUGCAAUGAACUUUGAAUUUGAUGCAUAAAAGUAUGUGUUAAUAUAUAUAUAUCUAUACGUAUAUAUAGAUAGAUAAAUAUAUGUGACUACCAAUACCCCAUGAACAUUUGUGGUACGUUUUUCUAUAUUCUGUUAAAAGAGAACAAUUGUAGGUAUUGUGGAAUUUAUGUAAAGAGUAGUAACUAAUAGUUCUGAUGUUACAAUCUGAAAGUUUUUUUUUCUUUUUUACAGUUUUUUAUUUGACAGUGAAUUUUGCUAAGGUGACGGGGAAGCACAAGAUAAUCCCUUCCCCCCCCCCCCCAAAAAAAACAGUAAGCACACAUACCAAGCAAGUGCGCACUCUGGGCAUGACGGCACGCAUAUGCCGACUUUUAAAAAGGAGACUAGUUUGGGUGUCAAGAUGGCAACAUAUUUGCACAAGUCCCCAUAAAAGUGUUUCCUUACAAAUAAAAAGCCCUUAGUAGACUGAUUGUCAUUUCAAAAUGAAACAAAAAAGAACAAACAAACACACACACUCUCACACACACACACACACAAAAAGAAAGCGAACACAAGGAAACGUAUUAGUCUACCUCUUCAGCUGCUCUUUGAGAUAGAAUUUCUGAUCCUCUGCCACUGAUGGCAGUACUCCCACAGAGCCACACAGUAAGAAGAAUGAAGUGAUUCAUGUUGCCUGAUCACCUGGAGUGCAAAAAUCAGUCAAUAAUACACUUUUAAACUUAGGCUUCACGCAUUGUUGUUUGUUUCACGAUCCAGGCCAUAAGGGAGAACCUUAUGGUGCUCAUUCCUGCUUAAUGGUCAAGUAAAAUUGUGCAAAUCAAAAAUUGAAAUCGAAAUGCUAACACACGAAAUGCUAGUUUGGAUAUACCUACGUCUCCCGGUAACUACACAAAACACAGUUAAGGCCAAGGCAGCUGGCACUAACACUCAAGAUUUUCUAGCCACAAACUGAGGACACACGAUAUAAAAACACUACCUUUCACUAAAAAGCUUAACUGACUGAUAUAGUAUUUAAUACUUUUAACUAUGGAAUAGAUGGCCGGCUGUGCAAAAAAGCAUGGAAGAUAACACACCUACACAAAUUAUUUGCAAAAAAGGUCGAAAAAGUCGUCUUAUUUCUUGUUCCAUAGCACCACGCAGCCUCUUCCACAAUCAUUUAGGAGCACUUUUUUGAACCUCUCGUUCAGUGGCGCGUAAAUUGGUUGAAGAACUGAAACCGGUCAAACCCAGCCUGUGUACCAACAGCUACAGUAAGGCCAGGAGGCGAGGAGAGGAAGAGCAGCAGCUACCGAGGCUAGCAUCCCAGUAGCCGACAGACAGGAUAGCUGGAGCAUAAAGCAAGUACAUUCAGGGAGAGGCAACGCCGUUUAAAGGUCGAUAUGAAACAGGUAGAGGACGCCAGCCCAACAGCUAGCGAGCUCGACAGAGAUCAGCAAGAACAUGGAGAUGAUUAUCCAGGUCCAAAGGAAUCAUUAGGGCACAGUGUGAAAUGCUGGCAAUUGGCUGGAUGAGAUUAUAAGGGAGAUAAAGCCAUCACUGUGAUGCACUGGCACCAGGGGUGCUGCUUUUGAGUCUUCUAGCAGAGCGAUCAUAAUUUUGCAUUGCAAUGGACUUGGGAAGCUGAGGCCAACACCUGUGCUCGGGGACAAACCGAAGGACCCGAAGCCCUGGAAAAUAUUUGGCCGUACCCACAAACCCUGGUUACUAGACAAGUCUACAGUGAUGCCGUACAUGAGGUCAUUAUGUUGUAGUUUUUUAUGUUUUUAAAGCUUCAAGUGCAUUGGACCUGUAGAUGCAUUCAAAUUUCUUAUUUUAUUUUUUUUGGUGAACUAUGAUUUGGUGGCAAUUGAAUACAUCUAGCAUGCAAAAAUGAUAUGUUAUCUUCAUAGCAGGUGAUGGGCAACAUGUAAUACCAGGCAAAGGUAAGGGGGGCUCUUCAGUGUGGCUUUGUGGGAGUAAUCAUCUUAGCAUGAAACAUGUAACACCUUUGGUAGCUUUCCUUCUCCAACAGUGCAUAUUCCAAUUAUAAAGUGUAUAUAUAUUUUAGCCUUGAACUGGAUAACUGUGUUCAUUUCUUUAAAACCAAACGCUUCCUUGGCAGAGUUCUACGGAAAGUGAAUCUGAGGAGUAUUAACAACCAAAAUCCUUUUAGGAUCAAGCAAAAUGUGAGGUAAGACAUUUUGAAGGCUCUCUUUGAGUAUUGCUCUUAAAUAAGGAUGAAGGAAAAAAAAAAAAAAUGAAAAACAUGAAAUAAGACCCGCUUUUAAAUACCAUUAUUACAAUCUACCAAAAAACAAAGGCAAUUAUAUUUUAGCAGCUAUAUUGAAAACAAUUUUUUUGUCUUUUUUUUUUUUUUUAAAGUCCUUGACACCCUAUUGUGCAAACAUCAACUUACUCAUGUAAUGAAUGUUCCAGACAGCUGUCUGUACUGGGAAAAAAUUGGGAGGUGGAGAGGAGCUAGUCCUCGCUUCGGUAUGGGUGCUUGUCGUUUCUUUUAGUUUUUAAGAAAUUGUAUUGUAUUGAAAUUUUUUUUUUUUUUCCCCCAAUCUGAAACUCCUAGAAUUGUUCUCUUUUGAAGUCUCAAAAACCAUUCCACAUAGUUUGGGAGGGGUGUUGGAUAAGGGAGGUGGGUACAUCACUGAAAGGGGUACUUAAUGUGGGUCAGGGAGAAUCCCGCCCACAGUAAUUAGCAUGAUGAGUAUCAUUAGCUGUUUGAGACUUAGGCACAGCACUGUAAGACAUCUAGAAAUUUCCAGAGAAGCCCAAAAGAUGGCCAUAUUUUUCUUGCACUCAAAUACGCAUUUCCUUCAUCUUCCACUUCUGUGAGUAGAAAGGCUGACAAUUCCUUCAUAUCUGAGCUCACUUUAGGGUAGGGACCGGUGCAGACAGCCCCUCAUGCUAUACACUGAAACUCAUUCUUUUAUUCAUGUGAAAUAAUUUGUUUUCCAUCCACUUAAAAGGUAAACUUUGUCAAAACCAACUAAACGACCUCACCCAAUUAAUACCGGAAGAGCAAAGCCAUCACUGUGUUAUUAAUGUGACUGCUCAAGCAUGUAAAUAACGAGUGAGUGGGUGGGGCUGGGUGCAGUUUCAUCAUAAUUGGGCCCCUUCAUUAGAAUGCGUCAUGUGAGGUCUGUCUGCACUGGAAGUGGUCCCCCCCAACCCGUCCUGUGGCCGUGCAGUCAAACCUGUUGGUUGGUUCCUCUGCCCUGCAAGACUCUCAUGCAGCACAGACUGGCUAACCACUUCUUCUGCUCGAGGGCCAAAUUUGAGGUAACUGUCUCACACCAAUAGGGCAGGUGAAGCCGUUCAAAUGCUUCUCCACACAGUUUGUAAGGUUGCUUUAGGUCUUUUUGGGAAAUGAGAAAGACACAAUGGACAUGUAGAGACAGAAAGAGAGAGAGAGAGAGGGGCAGGAAUAUAGAUUUCGAGUGACAUAUUUGCAUAUAGGUUUGACUGCACCCAUCAGGUUAAAUUCUGCGCACUCGCACACACACACACUAUUGCACGCAUACACACACACACACAAAUUAGUAUAUUCCUGCGUGUCUACAGUGUGAGGC
ensembl:lncRNA